UGCAGAAUCCCGUGAACCAUCGAAUUUUUGAACGCAAGUUGCGCCCGAGGCCUUUUUGGCCUAGGGCACGCCUGCCUGGGCGUCAGUUGACCCUCGGCGCUCCGUGCCAUGUGUGAUCUCUCACGGCUGGAUGCGGGCCUGGCCCUCCGAGUCCCUGAGCUCGGCGGGCCAAAGCGUUUGGCUUGCCCAUCGGGGCUGGCUGUGGCGAGUGGUGGAUCGAUCGCUCAGACGAGCCGUACGUCGCCCAGCUAGACCCCCUCGGGUAUAUGGCCUUGUUGAAACCCCAGAAUAGCUGAUGCCGAAUGGCGUUGGCGGGAACCAAGACCCCAGGUCAGGCGGGACCACCCGCCGAGUUUAAGCAUAUAAUUAAGCGGAGGAGAAGAAACUUACGAGGAUUCCCCUAGUAACGGCGAGCGAAAUGGGAACAGCCCAGCCUUGGAAUCGUGCGGGUCUUCCGCACGA
rnacentral:rRNA from 1 species